AUUGAACGCUGGCGGCAUGCUUUACACAUGCAAGUCGAACGGUAACAGGCCGCAAGGUGCUGACGAGUGGCGAACGGGUGAGUAAUGCAUCGGAACGUGCCCAGUCGUGGGGGAUAACGCAGCGAAAGCUGUGCUAAUACCGCAUACGAUCUAUGGAUGAAAGCGGGGGACCGUAAGGCCUCGCGCGAUUGGAGCGGCCGAUGUCAGAUUAGGUAGUUGGUGGGGGUAAAGGCCCACCAAGCCAACGAUCUGUAGCUGGUCUGAGAGGACGACCAGCCACACUGGGACUGAGACACGGCCCAGACUCCUACGGGAGGCAGCAGUGGGGAAUUUUGGACAAUAGGCGCAAGCCUGAUCCAGCAAUGCCGCGUGCAGGAAGAAGGCCUUCGGGUUGUAAC
rnacentral:rRNA from 1 species